CCUACGGGAGGCAGCAGUAAGGAAUAUUGGACAAUGGGCGCAAGCCUGAUCCAGCCAUGCCGCGUGAAGGAUUAAGGUCCUCUGGAUUGUAAACUUCUUUUAUAGGGGACGAAAAAGGGCAUUCUUGCUCACUUGACGGUACCCUAUGAAUAAGCACCGGCUAACUCCGUGCCAGCAGCCGCGGUAAUACGGAGGGUGCAAGCGUUAUCCGGAUUCACUGGGUUUAAAGGGUGCGUAGGCGGGCAGUUAAGUCAGUGGUGAAAUCUCCGAGCUCAACUCGGAAACUGCCAUUGAUACUAUCUGUCUUGAAUAUUGUGGAGGUAAGCGGAAUAUGUCAUGUAGCGGUGAAAUGCUUAGAUAUGACAUAGAACACCUAUUGCGAAGGCAGCUUACUACGCAUAUAUUGACGCUGAGGCACGAAAGCGUGGGGAUCAAACAGGAUUAGAUACCCUGGUAGUCCACGACCUAACGAUAGAUACUACGACAUACGACGACUACACUGUGUGUGUCUGAGCGAAGACAUUAAGUUAUCCCACCCGUCGGAGGUACGUCCGCGAGGAGUAGAAACGUUAAAGUAAGUUAGUACGGACGUGAGGACGUUGGCCGACGGACGACGACGAGGGGAGGUAGG
rnacentral:rRNA from 1 species